UUUCUUUGGGAUUACAGAAAAGUUGUUGUAGUAAGGGAACUGUCCAUCCAGCCAAGCAUUUAAGAAUGGAAAGAAAAGGAAGGUGAUUACUAGUCCCAAUCCAACUUCAUAUAGACUCUGCUGCUGCUGGGUGUCAUUGAGACCAGAUGCAGUCACAGCUAGAGCCCUGGGUAGCAGUGCCAUCUAUGUGCUUCUUUGUUUGUGAAAGAAGAAAGAUACAACAUUUAAAAGUCAUGGAUUUGUCCUCUGUGCUUCAGUUUACCAGUGUUUCAGGCAUCUCUUUGGAAGAGUCCAAUCCCAAGUAAGUACCCCGUGAGAGUUCACUGCAUGAAUCUGUGAUGAUGAAGCCUGGGUUGCAUUUUGAGACCAUAACAUGUUGAGAUACCCCAGCUUUGAGACACCUGCCAUGAAAAGCUUCGUGUAGGGAGUGGAAGUAGCAUGUGGGCUCGAGAGGGAGAGAGAGACAGAGACAGAGAGAGACAGAGACAGAGAGACACACAGAGAGACAGAGAGAAACAGAGACACAGAGACACAGAGACAGAGAGAGAUAAGAGACAGAGAGACAGAGACAGAGAGAUGUUUGAGAAGUUGCAGAAAGAGCCAUCUCAGCCCUUUGAAACUGAAGCCCCAGUGUCUGACACUGAGCUGCAGGAUUUGGUGUUUGCCCUGCAGGGUUUCAGUGUUGUCUUGGUCCAAUAAUUUCUUACUUCUUUGAAAGGGAAAUGUGUAUUCUGUGCCAUUGUGUGUUGGGCAUAUGUAAUUUAUGUUUUGAUUUUAUGACAUUAAGACACUGCCUUGAUUUUCAGAAGAAACUUCGGUCACUGGAACAGUGCUGGGAGUGUCACCCAUUACGGAGAUCUUUGAAGCUCUGCUGCAGCGCCUUCUCUGCAGGUCUGGGGCCCUUCUGUGUCUAAGAUGAAGUCUGGGAAGGGAGCGCGCGUCGGUUCACAGCAGCCAAUCAGGGCUCGGGACGGGACUGCCGGUCAGAGUGGGGGCGGGCGCUUCCGGUCCGCCCGCUCGCCCGCCCGCGCUGGACUCGGGAGACGUUCUUGUCGUGGGAGCCGCGCUGUGACCGCUGCCGGAGCCGCGAGGACGGCGGGCGAGCUCGGAGGCCGCCAUGCUUGUUUAUUUCAAAGAAAACAGAAAAUUAAAGUAAAGCAAGGGUUCCCAGGACAUGCUUAAGGAGAUACAAGAAUGACGUCAAAGUGGAGCAGAAGAGUCCCAAGUGUCUUUGGAAAACAGUAGGCAUGGAUGUUGCAAGAUGGUGUUGGGAGCAUGACAUGAGGCAUUAGGACCCAGCGUAGCCUGUGUCUGCAGCCUCCAGCUGUCCUAGCUGCUCAUUGGCAGCAGCUUGUCUAGCAUCCUGCCAUCUAUUCUCUUGAUUCUCUUGGGAUGUGUAUUUUCCCAAGACUGGCUCUAGGCUAAUGCAAAUUCGAAUGAGCCUUCCAAUUCUUACCAUUAUAGAGGAUUAAGAACUUCUUUGGAUUCCUGACUAGUGUUGAAGACAUGUGGCUAAGAAAAUACCUUACUUCCCUGUCUAAGCCAGUAAAUACAUUAGACAAAGCAAUGUAUCAAAAAUGCAGCAAACACACCAUGGAAGUCCAAUGCCACCUUAUUGGUAUAAGUGGGUUAAUGCCCUGAAGGCUCAGCACACCAGGUUUAUGGGUAUCACCAUUUUGGAUUGUGCCGUGCAGUUACAGUAACUAAGAAGUCACAUGGCAUCCAGUUCUCUCACAGCAUCUUGUACGGUGGCAGCCGGGCAGCGCAGCUCUGUGACGGGGUUCAGCGUCGCAUGCGCCUCGGCCAAGGCGGAGCCCAAGCGCCCUUCCGCGAGAAUGUCUGCCAAGCCCAGCCCUGCCAACGUGGACGCGAAGCUGAAAAAGUGCAAACAAAUCACCAGACAAAACAGUGCCAACAAAAGGGAGAGCUGAGCAAAGGGCAGACAGGCUGAAGCGGCUCACCUGCAAACUACAGAUCUGCCUGCAGAAAACGGAGAGACAGAGAACCAGAGUCCAGCCUCUGAGGUAGAAGAGAAAGAAGCCAAGUCUGACUCACCAUCCAUCAUGUCUGUCAGUGGUUCAUGCCUCCCUUCAUGUACAAUCCAGAGGAAUAUUUUUAUCAACUAUUUUGUAAAUGUUUUUUAGUAGCUCUAGAAAUUUUUUUAAGAGGUGGGAGGAAAUCUCAUCCCAUUUUUUUUUUAAGUGUAAAUGAUUUUUUUUUUUAAAGAGGUUAAAUCAUUUGCUGGUUGUUUAUUUUCUGGUACAACCAGAAAAUAGAAGGCUCAAUCAGGAGCGACUGGGACUGUCGUGGGGGGGGAGAGAGGGCUAAUUUUAUAUCCUACAGCAUAAAGCAUACUAAGUGUUUGGAGUCUUGGUCAUGCAUUUGUGUAUGCAAUAUUUUCAGUUACAUCUGGUCUCAUGUUUCUAGUUGAACUGUUUCCUAAAAAAAAUCACUCCUCUGCCUCCUCCUGUCAGAACUGUUUCUGAUGGUCAUGGUGUCCAUUUUCCUAACACUUGUGAUAAUAUGCUGUGAAAGACGGGCAUUUUGAGUAUGUACUGUAUGUGGCAUAAAAUUGUGAGGCAGGGGAAUUGAGGAUUGUGAGCAUUUGAGUGUUAUGUAAGGUCUUAAGGAAAACUUAAGACAGCCACGUGUGAGGCUGGAACAUCACUGAAAUAAGUUCAAAGAGAAACAACAUGUGAUCUUGGGGUACGUGAACACAAUGUAUGACUCUUCAGAGAUUGGGUGCAUGUGUUGAGAGUUGAAAUGUCUGUGUACUCUGCUCCUCAACCAAUAAAUCAAAGUUGUGAGAAAAAAAAAGUCA
rnacentral:lncRNA from 1 species